CUCUCACUCUCUCUCUCUCCCUCUCUCUCUAGUCUAAGAGAAAUGUCCACAUAUCCUCAGAUUAUUUAUUAUUAUUGUGUAAUGAGUUGUGCUCUCAGUUGGAGUCAUCAGGUUCCAUUAGAAGAGGAGGAGGAGGAGGUCAUUCACUAAUUGGGAAUGAGAUAUCAUCAUUUAUUUAUGAUAAUAACAAUAAUAUUAGUUCUAGUUUGUUAAAGUUAACUAAUCAAAAACAUGAUUUCACAACUGAUCACUUACAAAAAGACAGCACACUACACCUCUGUACUUUAUUACAUUCUACUCAUCUUUCUUCCAUUCCUUCUAUGGCUUCUCUUCUAAUUCAACCAAUCAACUUCACUAAAAUGAAAAAGCACACAGUGAUACUAGGUCAUCUUGCUCCAGUGUUUUGUCUCAUUUGAUU